AUUGAACGCUGGCGGCAGGCUUAACACAUGCAAGUCGAGCGGAGAGAGGUAGCUUGCUACUGAUCUUAGCGGCGGACGGGUGAGUAAUGCUUAGGAAUCUGCCUAUUAGUGGGGGACAACAUUUCGAAAGGAAUGCUAAUACCGCAUACGCCCUACGGGGGAAAGCAGGUGAUCUUCGGACCUUGCGCUACUAGAUGAGCCUAAGUCGGAUUAGCUAGUUGGUGGGGUAAAGGCCUACCAAGGCGACGAUCUGUAGCGGGUCUGAGAGGAUGAUCCGCCACACUGGGACUGAGACACGGCCCAGACUCCUACGGGAGGCAGCAGUGGGGAAUAUUGGACAAUGGGCGGAAGCCUGAUCCAGCCAUGCCGCGUGUGUGAAGAAGGCCUUUUGGUUGUAAAGCACUUUAAGCGAGGAGGAGGCUCUUAAGGUUAAUACCCUUGAUGAGUGGACGUUACUCGCAGAAUAAGCACCGGCUAACUCUGUGCCAGCCGCCGCCGUAACAC
rnacentral:rRNA from 1 species